UAGGGAUUCUUCGGCAAUGGGGGGAACCCUGACCGAGCAACGCCGCGUGAGUGAAGAAGGUUUUCGGAUCGUAAAGCUCUGUUGUUAAGGAAGAACGAGUGGGAGAAUGGAAAGUUCAUGCUGUGACGGUACUUAACCAGAAAGGGACGGCUAACUACGUGCCAGCAGCCGCGGUAAUACGUAGGUCCCGAGCGUUGUCCGGACUUAUUGGGCGUAAAGCGAGCGCAGGCGGUUAGAAAAGUCUGAAGUGAAAGGCAGUGGCUCAACCAUUGUAGGCUUUGGAAACUGUUUAACUUGAGUGCAGAAGGGGAGAGUGGAAUUCCAUGUGUAGCGGUGAAAUGCGUAGAUAUAUGGGGGAACACCGGUGGCGAAAGCGGCUCUCUGGUCUGUAACUGACGCUGAGGGUCGAAAGCGUGGGGAGCGAACAGG
rnacentral:rRNA from 1 species